rnacentral:rRNA from 1 species
AGUGAACGCUGGCGGUAGGCCUAACACAUGCCAGUCGAACGGCAGCACAGUAAGAGCUUGCUCUUACGGGUGGCGAGUGGCGGACGGGUGAGGAAUACAUCGGAAUCUACUUUUUCGUGGGGGAUAACGUAGGGAAACUUACGCUAAUACCGCAUACGACCUACGGGUGAAAGCAGGGGAUCUUCGGACCUUGCGCGAUUGAAUGAGCCGAUGUCUGAUUAGCUAGUUGGCGGGGUAAAGGCCCACCAAGGCGACGAUCCGUAGCUGGUCUGAGAGGAUGAUCAGCCACACUGGAACUGAGACACGGUCCAGACUCCUACGGGAGGCAGCAGUGGGGAAUAUUGGACAAUGGGCGCAAGCCUGAUCCAGCCAUACCGCGUGGGUGAAGAAGGCCUUCGGGUUGUAAAGCCCUUUUGUUGGGAAAGAAAAGCAGCAGGUUAAUACCCCGCUGUUCUGACGGUACCCAAAGAAUAAGCACCGGCUAACUUCGUG